UCUCCUAACUCUAAUUCACGCUGCAGCAGCGCCUCCCUCUCUCCCUCAUUUUCUUCAUUCGAGCACUCCUCUUCCAUCCUUUUCAUACAGACACGUAGGAUGGCAGUAGCGAUGGUGGUUCGUUGUCGCUCUCAUGGCGCCUUCGCGAGUCCCAGUUACGGCGUCGUCUUGCUCUUCUCCCGCUUCUUCUUCUUCGCCGUUGCGUCUUCGUCUUCCCAAGCCGCCUAUUCCAGCUUCGCUUUCCGGUGUUGUUGUCGUUUCAGCUUCCGCUACGUCACCAAAUGGCACCGUUUUGAAAAGGAAGAGGCCUGCUAGGCUUGAUAUACUUGUUAGCUCCUUGGCCUUUGGCAUUCUGCCAACACCCUCUGCUGCGGCACCGCGUGAUGUUAUGGAGGAAGAGCGUGAUGUCUUCUUUGUUUAUUGCAAGAAAGGCAGGAGGGAGCACAUGCAAGAUCGCUACUCUACUGCGAUAACCUACGUGGACAACAAAAACUAGCAUUUUUUGGAAUUUUCGAUGGGCAAGGUGGUGCAAAGGCUACCAAAUUUGUGCAAAUAACUUAGAAAAGAAUGUGUUAGAUGAAGUGAUUCUUAGCGAAAAAGAUAGCAUUGAGGAGGCUGUGAAGCGCGGUUAUGUCAAGACUGAUUCUGCUUUCUUGAAAAUUUUGGUAGUGCUCCGCUGCUGCUAGGUGGUGCUGAACUGCUAUUGCUUUGCUUGUCCUGUGGUGGUGCUGCUCCUCCUAUUCUUUCCCUGCUCUUUUCUUCUCAGCACUGCUCAUCUUCUUCUCAAGCCUUCUAUAAUUUAUUGAUAUAUUCUAGGCAUGCUUUUUUAAUAAUGUAUUGACUUGUAUAUUUAACCUCUCAAACCAUAAGUUUCAAUAAUUUCAAAACAGAAGAAAAUCUUAGCUAUAUAUGUAAACUGAAAUAAAAUAAUAAGGACCAAGUGAACUAAAAAAUUACAUGUAUAUAUUCAAGUAUGAUUUGAGUUGGACUAUUGUAAUAUCUAUCAGGAUUGGCCACAAGCACGAUCAGUUUUUAAAAUCUCUGUCCAAAUAUGGCCAGGAGAGAACUCAGGAAACUGAAGAUGGAUUGUCGUAUUAGGUGAUAAGUAAGAUACUGGAACCAGUUCAAUUUUGUGUUGGCACUUCGUCUCUAGUAGUACCAGGGCCAGGUGCACUGAUUUUAGACAUCUUAGUUAGUAGUUGAGCUAAUUUUUGUAUGUGAAGUGCCUAACAUCUUACUUAAAUCAAUGGAAUAUAUUUUUGUUAUAUUUUCUCUAAUGCAGCUGGAUAUAGAAGUCAGGGAGAAGUACAGGUCAAUAAUGCUCGGCCUAACAUACUUCAGAUGCAGCCCUUACCAUAUAACAUUAGAAAAGGAGAACUUCUGUUAUUUGAAAUCAUGAAUUCCUUCUUGUUCUGUCUUUUUCUUUAAAGAUGUAUUGUUUCAUCUUUAUUACAUUAUUCUAACAAGAAAGCACAUUCUUUUUUAUGGAUUGAGUUUUUGCAAUGGAGUUUUAAUUCUUUUAUGUUCCUAGUAAAAAAAGAUCUUAAAGUACUUGUUUCUUUCUAACUCCUUAAUUGUUUUGUGGCCAUUGUUAUUGAACAUAUUGCAAUCUGAACUGAUGGCGCUAAUGGUAAGAAGCUUAUAUGCCCACUACAUAUAUAUGAUCUUUCUCUUGUAUUUGGAAAAAGAUUACUAAUUAUUGAAGCUUUGUGUUCAUGGGAAUUUCAGAUGAGCAGAGAUUUAGGUAUAUCUGCGUUUCUUGACGAGGACAACAUAUUCUGCUGGAAAGGGACAAUAACAGGAAGUAAAGACAUGUGUUUGAAGGAACUGAGUACAAGUUGUCACUUUCGUUUCCCAAUGAUUACCCUUUUAAGGCUCCAAAGGUCAAAUUUGAAAACACCUGCUUCCAUCCAAACGUAGAUGUUCAUGGUAAUAUAUGCUUGGACAUUCUUCAGGGCAGUUUUUGAAGCGGAAAGAUUGUUCUUAUAUUCUGGACUGGAUAGGGGAUACCCAAAGGCGAAGUAAAUGGAGCUUCUCUUUCGGGAUUCGUCAUCAAUUAGCCACAAAUUGGAUAGUUUUAGUGAUCUCCUAAGUUCUAAUGAUAAACUUAUUUUGUCCUAAUUCAAUUAUUAGUUGUUAUAGAAUUGUAAUUUUUUAAUUAUAAUUAUAGCAUAUAAAUAAUUCAUGUAAAUCAAUAAAAAAUCAAUUCUUUUAUA